CGCGUAGGCGGUUUGUUAAGUCGGAUGUGAAAGCCCCGGGCUCAACCUGGGAAUUGCACCCGAUACUGGCCGACUGGAGUGCGAGAGUGGGAGGUAGAAUUCCACGUGUAGCGGUGAAAUGCGUAGAUAUGUGGAGGAAUACCGGUGGCGAAGGCGGCCUCCUGGCUCGACACUGACGCUGAGGUGCGAAAGCGUGGGGAGCAAACA
rnacentral:rRNA from 1 species